AUUGAACGCUGGCGGCAGGCUUAACACAUGCAAGUCGAGCGAGCGGCGGACGGGUGAGUAAUGUCUGGGAAACUGCCUGAUGGAGGGGGAUAACUACUGGAAACGGUAGCUAAUACCGCAUACCAUCAGAUGUGCCCAGAUGGGAUUAGCUAGUAGGUGGGGUAAUGGCUCACCUAGGCGACGAUCCCUAGCUGGUCUGAGAGGAUGACCAGCCAUACUGGAACUGAGACACGGUCCAGACUCCUACGGGAGGCAGCAGUGGGGGAUAGUGCACAAUGUGCGAAAGCCUGAUGCAGCGAGGCCGCGUGGGGGAUGAAGGCUUGCGGGUUGUAAACCUCUGUCGCUAGCGAACGGGUACGUGGAGAAGAAGCGCCGGCUAACUACGUGCCAGCAGCCGCGGUAAUUC
rnacentral:rRNA from 1 species